rnacentral:rRNA from 1 species
AUUGAACGCUGGCGGCACGCCUAACACAUGCAAGUCGAGCGGUAGCAUGAUUGGUAGCAAUACCAAUUGAUGACGAGCGGCGGACGGGUGAGGAACACGUAGGAACCUGCCUUCAAGUGGGGGACAACCAAGGGAAACUUUGGCUAAUACCGCAUAAUUCCGAAAGGGAAAAGCUGCCCGCAAGGGUGGCGCUUGAAGAGGGGCCUGCGUCCGAUUAGCUAGUUGGAGAGGUAAAAGCUCACCAAGGCGAUGAUCGGUAACUGGUCUGAGAGGACGACCAGUCACACUGGGACUGAGACACGGCCCAGACUCCUACGGGAGGCUG